rnacentral:rRNA from 1 species
GAUGAACGCUGGCGGCGUGCUUAACACAUGCAAGUCGAACGAAGCACUUUAUUUGAUUUCCUUCGGGACUGAUUAUUUUGUGACUGAGUGGCGGACGGGUGAGUAACGCGUGGGUAACCUGCCUUGUACAGGGGGAUAACAGUUGGAAACGGCUGCUAAUACCGCAUAAGCGCCCAGCAUCGCAUGAUGCAGUGUGAAAAACUCCGGUGGUAUAAGAUGGACCCGCGUUGGAUUAGCUAGUUGGUGAGGUAACGGCCCACCAAGGCGACGAUCCAUAGCCGACCUGAGAGGGUGACCGGCCACAGUGGGACUGAGACACGGCCCAAACUCCUACGGGAGGCAGCAGUGGGGAAUAUUGCACAAUGGGCGAAAGCCUGAUGCAGCGACGCCGCGUGAGCGAAGAAGUAUUUCGGUAUGUAAAGCUCUAUCAGCAGGGAAGAUAAUGACGGUACCUGACUAAGAAGCACCGGCUAAAUACGUG